GGGCUGAUAGAUCAGACCGGUAGAUCGCUUCGCUUGCAAUAGCAAACGAGAACCGAAGAGGCCGCGGGUUCAAAUCCCGCUCAGUCCA
rnacentral:tRNA from 1 species